AAAAGAUUAAAUAAAUGGCGUUCGUCAUGAUCGUUAUCACAAGGUGAUUAAUUUCUAUCUAUGUACUGUUUAACUCAGUGUCAAUUAUAAUUUGAAUUAAUUAAAUAAUAAAAUAAAUAAUCUCAAAACGUAUUUAAAUAAAUGUAACAAAUAUAUAAAAUAAUGCAACUAAUUAAUCCAAUAUACAUUGCGGUAACAAUCUGCUGUUUAAUACACCAAGGCAUUUAUAUAUCUGCUGGUUAUGUUACAUUGACACAUGAUGGACCGACAGUGCGAGGUGGUAUUAUUACUUUUCAAGCUGAUCUUCACUAUGAUUAUGGCUCUAGGCCUUCAGGUACAUUUGAUUACUUUUGGAGAGAUGAUGCAAUUCCCUCUCAUAAACAUGAGGUUUUAGGUAUCAAAAAUACGACAAACAUUUGGCAAGUUCAAUAUCCUGCUGAUUUAUAUCCUGUAGGAGAAUAUACAGUUGAAAUUAAAGUAAGACGAGUAAUUUAUUUUAUUUUGCCAGAUAUAACAAGUCAACAUCGAACAUUUGAAAUAACUUCUCUUCUCAAUGGAAAUAUGACAAUAGUCCAAUCUAAUAACACUGUGAAUAAUGAUUAUGUAUCAUCUGCCUCCGAAGCUGAAGUAAAAAUUAACUUACGUAAAGGUGAUGCAGAAUAUAUUGAUAAAAAUGCUACUGAAAUUGAAACUCAUUGGUUUGUGAAUUGUAAAUAUUAUGGACAAACAAAUGAUUAUACUUUUCGUUAUAAUUUUACGAAACCUGACUCUACGGCAUUAAUAGAAGCGUUAGUUAUUGCUUCCUUUGAACCUCCUACUACUAUUGUACCGUCUACAAUAACUACUUCAAUAAUUCUUUCAACAAAUACUACAACGAUUGCUUCGAAUAGUAAUAAUAGUACUAUUUUUAAGUCCAAUUCAACUAUUAUAGAAUCUACUACACCUAGUACAGCUAAAAAUUUAACAAAUACGUCAGUUAAACCUACUGAAUCAACAAAAAUAUCUAACGAUUCUGAUGUACGUUUUCCAUAUGUGUGUGUAAAUUCAAGUGUAAUCCCAGAUCCCAAGAAAACAUAUGGAUAUUUCCGGAGAGAAGUUCAAGUUAAAGUUCCCAUUAAAAAUAUAACAGUUGAAGGUACAAAUUGGAUAAAACCAUGGGAUAUGUUGUCUCUAAAUGUCACUUGCCAUGGUUCUGGUCCAUUUUAUCAAUGUUUAGAAUAUCAUCGUGGUAAUUAUAACAUUACUGGCAAUGAAACAUGUGAAAAAGGUUCACGUCUUGAGUCCUGCAACUUUUCAAUCACUCAUUAUUUUUUGGAUCCAACUGUUUAUACAAUCGUAGUAAUUCUCAAAAAUGACAUCAGUAAAUUAGUUUAUCCAUUAACUAUCAACAUUUAUGAAGUGACCACCAAGCCUCAACUAUCGGUAAUUGUAGUACCUGUUUCUUGUUCCUUGGCAGCAGUUGUUUUAAUAGUCUUUGGAAUCGCUUAUUAUCUCCAGAGCCGUGCAAGAUUUACGGUAGAAGUAGCAGAUUUUGAUUUCGGUCAAAAUAAUCCAGAAUUAGAAUACAAGACAUUCACGGAGCGACUGCGGGAUUCAUUUAAUAGCACUGGUUAUAAGCCACUAAGUGAACCUAAAAUUCAAAAUUGAAUGCACAAAUUUGAUUUAGAAAAAAUGACACAAGCAUUACAAAGAGGAAGUAUCAAUGAAUGCCAAUAGGCAAAAUAUUUAAUAAUUUUGUAAAUAUAAUACCUCGUGGACUACAGAAUAUAGGAGAUGGCCUGUAUUAGGAAACAUCUACGCUUUGAUUAGAAUUAUUAUUUUUUUUUUUUUUUAAGUUUACAAUAGAUAUUUAUUUAAUCAAUUAAAUAUUUACAUUUAUUAGAAGUAUAUUAAUUAAUAUAUAUCAUUUAUGUACAUA
rnacentral:misc_RNA from 1 species